GUGGGGAAUAUUGCACAAUGGGAGAAAUCCUGAUGCAGCGACGCCGCGUGGGUGAUGAAGGCCUUCGGGUUGUAAAGCCCUGUCGGCUGGGAACAAGGUAGACGUGCUCAUACCACGUUUGCUUGAGUGUACCAGCAAAGGAAGCACCGGCUAACCCUGUGCCAGCAGCCGCGGUAAUACAGGGGGUGCUAGCGUUGUUCGGAAUUACUGGGCGUAAAGGGCGCGUAGGCGGUCUUGCAAGUCAGGGGUGAAAUCCCGGAGCUUAACUCCGGAAUUGCUUUUGAUACUGUGAGGCUAGAGUGUAUUAGAGGAUGGCGGAAUUCCUAGUGUAGUGGUGAAAUACGUAGAUAUUAGGAAGAACACCGGUGGCGAAGGCGGCCAUCUGGGAUACAACUGACGCUGAGGCGCGAAAGCGUGGGGAUCAAA
rnacentral:rRNA from 1 species